GGCUGAUCAUCAUGCAGAAUGAGGAGAAGACUCAUACCUGUCCAGUAUCUCUGGGAGAGAAAACAGAACAAGAGAAAAAUAAAAGCAACAACAAAAGAGAAAGCGUUCAGAAUUUUGCUGUCAGGGGAUUGUGGAACGACCAGCACUCAAGAGAUUUCAGAUGCUAUAGACCCUCUGAUCCAAUGACACAAAAGUCACAUGGGAAAGGGAGCAAGAGAAGACAGAUAACAGUAAAUAAGCUGUAUAGAUUUUAAAAACAUUUUAAAACAAGAAAGUAUGCUAAGAACAUUCUGUCAAAUAAAGCAGAUGAAAGGUUGAGCUA